UGUCACUCAAGGUUUUUUAUUUUUAUUAUGUCUUUUAGUUGUGUUUGUUUUCUUUUUCACGUUUUUAUCUUAACUUCUCAACUUUCAGUACUUACAUUAAUGUUCGCUCAACUUUUUUAAAAUUGUAUAAAUGUUAUUUGACCCCCUUGAAUUUUAUGAGCUUUUUUUUUAUCUACAUGGUAAAAAAUAUUACAUGCUCAACUUUUUAAAAACUUUGUAAAUGUCAUUUUGACCCAUUUAUUUUUCUAUGUAAGUUUUCGGUUUGUCUACGUUUUAACUAGGUGGUAAAAUUUUUCUAAUACAUAAUAUAUUUUUAAAAUUUUUUCAUUAUGCGCUUUAUUUUUCUCAGGCCCCUCGCUUUUUUUGCGCUUUGCGCCUAGGCCCCAGGCGAGGCCUAUGCGCCUUGAGUGCGCCUAGUGCCUUUAAUAACUAUGCACAUUACGACCUUAUUUGAUUUAAACACUUGUUACAAGGUCUAAUUGCGAAGAUGAAAUGAUCAUCAUACAUCAUUCUCUACCUGGGUAGCAUCUUUGUUUUUAUUUUGGGAUCGACGAUGGAAGGUUGAAUCGUCGCAGACUUCAUUGGUAAGAUUAUCAAUUUCUACUAUUAACCCCCAGUAAUGGUAUUAAAGCAAAAUAGAAUAAGCCGGGCUAUUAACAUUUUUGAAAGCAUUUUCCCAUUUGCCAUACUCGUUCCAAGUGGCUAUUGUCAUAUUCCAGUUUUAUAAAUAAAUAGGCUAAAAAGUAUUUACCUAUGCUAGCUGUGUUCUCACAUUGUAUUUAGUUCUCGUAGCAUGGUCGUAUUCAAAGUAUAUUAACUUAGGUGUGAUUCUUUGGAGGGUUCUAUAAUCCGGAACGAAUGGAUACAUCAUUAGAAUGGUACGAGUCAUUGUAAGUCUUUUGACUUUGACCAGUUAACUUUAGAAUAACGCUCGGUAUCGCUAGAUUAAGCGUUGACCAAAUAGAAUGUGGUUUAUACUCGUAUGAGUGAGGGGUCUCGUGUGAUACGGGUUAUUUAACAAAACAUUCUGGUUUGGAAAUGUUUUGCAUUUAUUGACCUGUUGUGACUAGUUUAUAUAGUUUAUGCUAUUUUAGUUAGCAGUAUGAUCAAUAUGUAUAUUUGCUGGGAAUUACUCUAUACAUUAUGAUGAUCGCGUGGUUUGGUAUAAUUGAAUUUUAUGUUGACAAAGUGGUCAGAACUGAAAGUCAAACUAUAGGUUAAACUGUUUGACUUCCGAAUAUAAUUCAACUACUAAACUGAAAUUAACCAAAUGAGGACCCUUACCUACUUGAAAAAUAGUUAGAACUUCAGAAAGAAGGCUCCUGAGUACAGAAGCAACCUCCACAGGCAUAUUAGAGAGUGAGAGUGAAGAGGUGUGAUGAAAUGUGGGUGCUUAGAGGAGGAUUAAUAGCAGAUGGGGUGUCCUAAGGAGGUGGAGUGUGGCAAAUUUUCGUGAACAGGUGGCACGGAAUGCAAUAGGCUGCUGCCAGCUGCAUUCUGCUGUCAACGCACCCCUUACGGACCGCAAGGGGUUGUGCCUUACGAUCCGUAAGGGACUCUAGCGCGCAACAAAUAUUUAAACAUCCUUGUUGUAGUGUUCCGUAUUUUGCGAUGUAUUUUCGUUUACCUUGUAAUUCGUAUUUCAUUUCCACAUUUGUAACCCGAGACUUCGAUAAUAAUGGAAAAUUCACAUUUU
rnacentral:lncRNA from 1 species